GUUACUUCCAUUGUUAGUGAAGAUUGCUAGGAGCCAUGGGACUGCAUUAAGCGUGCACAUUAGCUGCAAUAUAAAAUCAAACCAAACCCUGUUCUUACUUGACAAAGCUCAUGACCUAAGUAUAAAAUGAGAUGACAGUAAGAAGUGGCUGCAGCCAUAACAUAUCAACAGUCCAAGCUUUAUUAACUCAAGGGAGGGAGCAGGGCGUUACGACAGAGGUGAACUUUACGGGGGGGGGAAAGGAGUGAGCUUGAUGGGCUUUAUUUUUCAUUAUUACAGGCAUAAAAGACAUUGAAAUAGGGUUCCUUCCAGGACAGUGGCCAUUGAUACCGUUCACUGAUCUGACAUAGGUCACCUGCCAUCUACUAAGCUAUAAAUAUUGUUAGAAUAUCAUCAGAGUUUUCGAGCUCUGAGAUCUGUGGGACCUUUCUGGUGACUGGCAUAAGCAGCUUAUUAAAAGCGAGUUGUUGGCAGCCAUGGCGGGGAUGUCUGGUGAUGCAUCUGAAAAGCGUGACCAGAGAACGGCACCGUACUCAGUAAUUAUUGAAUGCUUUGAAUACCCUUGUAAUCUUUAAUGUAACGUGGGCUGUACAAGAUACUUAGCAAACGCAAAGUAAAAAUGUGUAGUAUCUGUCAGCUACAUUUCUGACCUUUUCAGGAAAGGUGGGGCUCAUUAAAAUAGAGAUUUACAUAAACUAAUGAUGUGGUCACAGAAAUCUGCUACUAAAAUGGGUUAUAAACAAUGUUACAAAUGAUUAAAUUUCAAGCCCCAGACAGCAUGCAUUGCUGUAACAAAUGCAGCAAUCUUUCUAUCCUCAGAUGGUAUAUUUGCAAAGGUACGUUCAUGCCUAUGUUGUAAGGAGUCAUGAGGGAUCUGUGACCUAAACCUGCACUCCUUGUAGAGUCAGCUCUCCGUGACCCUAAAAUUUGACUGCAUGUGCCAAAGCACAGUUUGCAUUCCAGAUAUCUCCCCAUUCCUACCCUUGGAGUCAACAUAUGUUUUUGGGAUGAUGGUCUUUGGUACCUUAGGAAACAACAGCAAGCUUCAUUUGGCCCUUGUCUUUACCAUAUUUCUCAGUGAAUGGUGCUGUGGGCCAAGUUACUCAUUUGGAAAGAAGGGUAGAGAAAACCAGCACAGUGGAUUCUGGGAGAUUAAAAAAAAAGUCACCUUAGUAAAAGUCCUCCUAAAAUAAAUGCUUCUGAACGUCGAUGAUAAGAGCUGCCUUCGUGAGGGUGCUAAUUUUUAAAUCACUCAGUAAACUAUCUUAGUUUGUAAGGACUUUGGAAGAAAACGUGCGUCCUGAAAGUAAAAAAACAUGAAUAAUUUUUGAUGUAAUUGAAUAUAAUUAUGCUUUGCAUAAAACCAGUGGGAUAAUGAUUUGAUCAGAAAAAAAUAAACAGAAAAAAAGAAAAUAGAUAUCUAAAGCAGUCUGUUCUUCUUUCACUUCUGUUAUAAAGUUCGGAUUACAGUAGUUAGGCUCCAUUAUAUCAGAAACCAGAAGGCUCAGUGGGUGCAUGUUAAUCACUUGGUAAGAAAUUAAAGACAGAUAUUAGAGUAGAUUUAAAAAAAAAAAAAAAAAGGGGGAAGUGAUGUUGAAGCCAAAUCUGUCCAAUCUGAUGCGUUGUCACAGGCUUCCAUUGGUCCCAAAGUCCCGUGAGGCUUCCAGGCUUCAACUGAAGUGAAUUGAGGUAGAGGUGUUCAGAAGGGCUUUUAAGCUUUUCAGGAGUGUCCUGUUCUUACAUAUUAUGAUCCCUGCCAGCUGUUGCGGAGAACAAUCUGUCCUCUGGUUUAGUUUACCUGCCUGAGACAACAAAAAUCCAGUAAAUCAACAGACUGCAGCCCAUGGAGAGAGAGCCUGAGAAGGAGUAGAGAAGUAAGGAGUGAAAGGAUGUGAAAGUAAGGAGCACUCCCAUGUGCUGAUCUCACCUCCUGUGCCACCGGCAUUAGGGGUGGAAGACUCCACACUGAAGCUGAGAUGGGAAAGGGAAUAUAUGUGCUGCUGACUCUAUUAGUGGCCUUCAGUAUCUCUUCAUCUCAAACAACACUGGAGAGAAGUUGUACGGCACUACAAAGGCUGAAAGUGCUAUGUUAGUAAUUGCUUCAAGAAUACUAUUUGCCUUCUGCCAAGAGAAAGAUGUUUUUAGGUACCAGGUUGUCUCCUACACCAUUACAGUUGUUUUAUUUCGUCCCACUAAAGAUGGAUUCAUAAGGAGGAUGCUCUGUGAUUGGGGUGUUUGGGAGUAAGGAUACCACAUGUCUGUUUUGAAAAAAGAUGUGGCAGAAAGGCCAAUAGGAGUCUGAAGUGCACGUCCACAAAUGAGUUUGAAGACAUCGCUAAGACGCGGAAGCAGGCUGAAAGCAGGCAAAACAAAUGGCCUGGGUGGAAGCUGGAGGAACCUUCAUUACUGCAGCUUCAGAAGAUCAAAAUGGUGCACAGUAGAAGAGGCAGGAAGACUGAAAUAUUUUGGUACAACUUGGGAAAUUUCUGCCCUUUGAAUAAUGUCCUUAAAUA
ensembl:lncRNA